rnacentral:rRNA from 1 species
GACGAACGCUGGCGGCGUGCUUAACACAUGCAAGUCGAACGGAAAGGCCCUGCUUUUGUGGGGUGCUCGAGUGGCGAACGGGUGAGUAACACGUGAGUAACCUGCCCUUGACUUUGGGAUAACUUCAGGAAACUGGGGCUAAUACCGUAUAGGAGCUCCUGCUGCAUGGUGGGGGUUGGAAAGUUUCGGCGGUUGAGGAUGGACUCGCGGCUUAUCAGCUUGUUGGUGGGGUAGUGGCUUACCAAGGCUUUGACGGGUAGCCGGCCUGAGAGGGUGACCGGCCACAUUGGGACUGAGAUACGGCCCAGACUCCUACGGGAGGCAGCAGUGGGGAAUAUUGCACAAUGGGCGGAAGCCUGAUGCAGCAACGCCGCGUGCGGGAUGACGGCCUUCGGGUUGUAAACCGCUUUCGCCUGUGACGAAGCGUGAGUGACGGUAAUGGGUAAAGAAGCACCGGCUAACUACGUG